GUGAUUGGGGUGAAGUCGUAACAAGGUAGCCGUAGGAGAACCUGCGGCUGGAUCACCUCCUUUCUAGGGAGU
rnacentral:rRNA from 1 species